rnacentral:piRNA from 1 species
UGCUUAAAUGUAUGGUACUUGUCAUGUAUA